GUGCAGCAGUCGAGAAUCCUUUACAAUGUCUUCACGGACGAUAGGGGAAUCCUGAGUGCUCUAGCAUUGCUAGAGCUUUUGCUUACUGAAAAGGUAGGCGAAUAAGUGGUGGGUAAGACGGGUGCCAGCCGCCGCGGUAAUACCCGCGCCACAAGUGGUGACCACGUUUAUUGGGUCUAAAGCGUUCGUAGCCGGCCUGAUAAAUUCUCGGUGAAAUCCUGUGUAAAUCAUAGGGCGUGCCGGGAAGACUGUCAAGCUAGGAACCGGGAGAGGCUGAGGGUACUCCAGGAGUAGGGGUUAAAUGCCGUUAUGGUUUAACCCUACGGUUUAACAAUCCUGUAAUUCUUGGAGGACCACCGGUGGCGAA
rnacentral:rRNA from 1 species